rnacentral:lncRNA from 13 species
AGUGGCCAUUUUUAUAUAUGUUUGAGGUUUUCUAAAGUGUAUUAAAAUAAUAUUUGAAUGGGUGCAACGUUUGUCAUUUCAGUAAUGGAUGCUCUAAAUGCCCUGACUUCACCAGUACACAAGCUAUGCAUGCACCUGAUAUGGUUUGGCUCUGUGUCCCCACCCAAAUCUCACACUAAAUAGUAAUCCUUGGACUUAGGGAGGGACCUGGUGAGAAGCGAUUGGACCGUGAGGGCAGUUUCCCCUGCGCUGCUCCCAGGAUAGUGAGUUCUCAUGAGAUCUGGUGGUUUGGAAGUGUGCAGUGUUUCCCCUUUUGCACGCUCUCUCUCUCUCCUCCCCUGACAUGUGAAGAUCUGCUUGCUCCCGUCGUGAUUGACCGAGAAGAGAGAACCAGACACACUCCUUCACCGGUCACACGGCCUACCACACUCAGCCACAGCCUGCAGCACCCUCGGGCCAACAGCCGCCUUCCGGGUGUGCCUGCAGGAGCCUCCCCUCGUCUUCGUCAUAAAUCUCUCCCACUCCCCUGCCUGCCUUCUAAUCGCUGCCAGAUUCUCCGGUUGGCAGCUGAUGCCCUUGAUACAGCAAGUUCCGAAUAAUGUGCUCUGCUUUUCUCGUCUGGGUGGUUUCUGUUUACUUCCAUGAUAUUUAAAUAUGUUUGGAUGCACGCUAUCCCACCUGAUCCUACCUAGCCCUGCAAGAAGGGUACAGCUGGCAUUCCUUGUGUUUUUGAAGGCUUGAAACUUCCAAUGACUCAGCUAAAGCUACAGUGAAAGAGAAAAACGAUCCAUGACACUUGCUGAAGACAGAAAGCAGAAUUUACUCAAGGGGCAAUGGCCACAGGUUCAAGCUCCUUCCCAAUUCUGUGACUCCUGAUAGUAGAAUCAGGCACCAGACAGAGAGUGCCCUGGGCACUGAGUCCAGCCACCUGUUCCUGCUCCCACCCGCUGUGCUGACCCCGAGCCUGGAGGACCUCACAGAUAAACCAGCUCAGCAGAUGAACUGCUGCAGUGGAGAGAGAUGAGCUCAGCUCCAAAGACAGCACAAACACGGAAUUUGUAGCCAAGGAGUAGAGUGGGGUCAGUAGUGGAAAAUGAGUGAGUGGAAAUCUCAGGGUUGAGGGGACUGUGGCUAAACCCACCUAGCAGGAUUCCGGGGAAGGCAGGCAGGGUGCUUGGAUGUCACCUGGGGACACCCUUGAGGCUGAGGAGCUCACUUAGGCCUCAAGGGUGACUGAGAAGGGAAUAUGACCCUGCAGUCACCAUGGGACAAGCCCAUCAACAUUCAGUGGACUUCACUGAAAUUUUACAUAUUUCAAAGCUUUUAUUUCAGAUUCAGAUAUCGUAAAAUCAGGCAAAUAAAAAUCUUUUUCCAAUAUCUGUCCUUCA